rnacentral:rRNA from 1 species
AGAGUUUGAUCCUGGCUCAGAUUGAACGCUGGCGGCAUGCCUAACACAUGCAAGUCGAACGGCAGCACAGUGGUAGCAAUACCAUGGGUGGCGAGUGGCGGACGGGUGAGUAAUGCAUCGGGACCUACCUGAACGUGGGGGAUAACGUAGGGAAACUUACGCUAAUACCGCAUACGUCCUACGGGAGAAAGCGGGGGACCUUCGGGCCUCGCGCGGUCAGACGGACCGAUGUUCGAUUAGCUUGUUGGUGGGGUAAAGGCCUACCAAGGCGACGAUCAGUAGCUGGUCUGAGAGGAUGAUCCGCCACAUUGGGACUGAGACACGGCCCAAACUCCUACGGGAGGCAGCAGUGGGGAAUAUUGGACAAUGGGCGCAAGCCUGAUCCAGCAAUGCCGCGUGUGUGAAGAAGGCCUUCGGGUUGUAAAGCACUUUUAUCGGGAGCGAAAUACCAUUGGCUAAUAACCAGUGGGGCUGACGGUACCCGAGGAAUAAGCACCGGCUAACUUCGUGCCAGCAGCCGCGGUAAUACGAAGGGUGCAAGCGUUAAUCGGAAUUACUGGGCGUAAAGGGUGCGUAGGCGGUUUGUUAAGUCUGUCGUGAAAUCCCCGGGCUCAACCUGGGAAUGGCGAUGGAUACUGGCAAGCUAGAGUGUGUCAGAGGAUGGUGGAAUUUCCGGUGUAGCGGUGAAAUGCGUAGAGAUCGGAAGGAACAUCAGUGGCGAAGGCGGCCAUCUGGGACAACACUGACGCUGAAGCACGAAAGCGUGGGGAGCAAACAGGAUUAGAUACCCUGGUAGUCC